UGGGCAUCCAAAUUUUACAAA
ensembl:piRNA 21ur-5192 ncRNA